rnacentral:rRNA from 1 species
AGGGUUCGAUUCUGGCUCAGAACGAACGCUGGCGGCAGGCCUUAUACAUGCAAGUCGAGCGCAUCCUUCGGGAUGAGCGGCGGACGGGUGAGUAACGCGUGGGAAUGUGCCCUUCUCUACGGAAUAGCCACUGGAAACGGUGAGUAAUACCGUAUACGCCCUUAGGGGGAAAGAUUUAUCGGAGAAGGAUCAGCCCGCGUUAGAUUAGGUAGUUGGUGGGGUAACGGCCUACCAAGCCUACGAUCUAUAGCUGGUUUUAGAGGAUGAUCAGCCACACUGGGACUGAGACACGGCCCAGACUCCUACGGGAGGCAGCAGUAGGGAAUCUUGGACAAUGGGGGAAACCCUGAUCCAGCCAUGCCGCGUGAGUGAAGAAGGCCUUAGGGUCGUAAAGCUCUUUCGCCUGUGAUGAUAAUGACAGUAGCAGGUAAAGAAACCCCGGCUAACUCCGUGCCAGCCGCCGCGGUAAUAC